rnacentral:rRNA from 1 species
UACGUAGGGCGCAAGCGUUGUCCGGAAUUAUUGGGCGUAAAGAGCUCGUAGGCGGUCUGUUGCGUCCGCUGUGAAAACUCGGGGCUUAACCCCGAGCCUGCAGUGGAUACGGGCAGACUAGAGGUAGGUAGGGGAGAAUGGAAUUCCCGGUGUAGCGGUGAAAUGCGCAGAUAUCGGGAGGAACACCGGUGGUGUAGACGGCUUACUGGACCAUGACUGACGCUGAGGCACGAAAGCGUGGGGAGCAAACAGG